rnacentral:misc_RNA from 1 species
AAACCCGUCAAGCACCGCUUGUGUUGGGGCCCUGCGGCCGCCGCAGGCCCUGAAAUCGAGUGGCGGGACCGCCCCCGCGCCAAGCGUAGUACACUACCUCGCUGCGGCGCGCCGGCGGCCCCCGCCUCACCCCCCGCGA